GAUGAACGCUGGCGGCGUGCUUAACACAUGCAAGUCGAACGAUUAAGGCGGCUUCGGCCGCGUAUAGAGUGGCGAACGGGUGAGUAACACGUGACCAACCUGCCCCGCGCUCCGGGACAACCGCUGGAAACGGCGGCUAAUACCGGAUGCUCCGGGGAGGCCCCAUGGCCUCCCCGGGAAAGCCCCGACGGCGCGGGAUGGGGUCGCGGCCCAUUAGGUAGACGGCGGGGUAACGGCCCACCGUGCCCGCGAUGGGUAGCCGGACUGAGAGGUCGACCGGCCACAUUGGGACUGAGAUACGGCCCAGACUCCUACGGGAGGCAGCAGUGGGGAAUUUUGCGCAAUGGGGGCAACCCUGACGCAGCAACGCCGCGUGCGGGACGAAGGCCUUCGGGUUGUAAACCGCUUUCAGCAGGGAAGACUUUGACGGUACCUGCAGAAGAAGCUCCGGCUAACUACGUGCCAGCAGCCGCGGUAAUACGUAGGGGGCGAGCGUUAUCCGGAUUCAUUGGGCGUAAAGCGCGCGUAGGCGGCCGCCUAAGCGGAACCUCUAAUCCCGGGGCUCAACCUCGGGCCGGGUUCCGGACUGGGCGGCUCGAGUGCGGUAGAGGCAGGCGGAAUUCCCGGUGUAGCGGUGGAAUGCGCAGAUAUCGGGAAGAACACCGAUGGCGAAGGCAGCCUGCUGGGCCGCCACUGACGCUGAGGCGCGAAAGCUGGGGGAGCGAACAGGAUUAGAUACCCUGGUAGUCCCAGCCGUAAACGC
rnacentral:rRNA from 1 species